UUGGAGGGCAAGUCUGGUGCCAGCAGCCGCGGUAAUUCCAGCUCCAAUAGCGUAUAUUAAAGUUGUUGCAGUUAAAAAGCUCGUAGUUGAAUUUCGGGGUCAGUAGGUUGGUCGUGCCACCGGUACGUACUGGUCUCACUGAUUCUUCCUUCCUGAUGAGCUGUAAUGCCAUUAAUUUGGUGUUGCAGGGAAUCUGGACUGUUACUUUGAAAAAAUUAGAGUGUUUAAAGCAGGCUAACGCUUGAAUACAUUAGCAUGGAAUAAUGAAAUAGGACGUUCGAUCCUAUUUUGUUGGUUUCUAGGAUUGACGUAAUGAUUAAUAGGGAUAGUUGGGGGCAUUAGUAUUCAAUUGUCAGAGGUGAAAUUCUUGGAUUUAUUGAAGACUAACUACUGCGAAAGCAUUUGCCAAGGAUGUUUUCAUUAAUCAAGAACGAAAGUUAGGGGAUCGAAGACGAUCAGAUACCGUCGUAGUCUUAACCAUAAACUAUGCCGACUAGGGUUCGGAUGAUGUUAAUUUUUUAAUGACUCAUUCGGCGCCUUACGGGAAAC
rnacentral:rRNA from 1 species